rnacentral:rRNA from 1 species
CCCUUUGUGACAUACCUACAACUGUUGCUUCGGCGGGUAGGGUCUCCGCGACCCUCCCGGCCUCCCGCCUCCGGGCGGGUCGGCGCCCGCCGGAGGAUAACCAAACUCUGAUUUAACGACGUUUCUUCUGAGUGGUACAAGCAAAUAAUCAAAACUUUUAACAACGGAUCUCUUGGUUCUGGCAUCGAUGAAGAACGCAGCGAAAUGCGAUAAGUAAUGUGAAUUGCAGAAUUCAGUGAAUCAUCGAAUCUUUGAACGCACAUUGCGCCCGCCAGCAUUCUGGCGGGCAUGCCUGUUCGAGCGUCAUUUCAACCCUCAAGCUCUGCUUGGUGUUGGGGCCCUACAGCCGAUGUAGGCCCUCAAAGGUAGUGGCGGACCCUCCCGGAGCCUCCUUUGCGUAGUAACUUUACGUCUCGCACUGGGAUCCGGAGGGACUCUUGCCGUAAAACCCCCCAAUUUUCCAAAGGUUGACCUCGGAUCAGGUAGGAAUACCCGCUGAACUUAAGCAUAUCAAUAAG